rnacentral:rRNA from 1 species
ACAUGCAAGUCGAACGGUAACAGGAAGCAGCUUGCUGCUUCGCUGACGAGUGGCGGACGGGUGAGUAAUGUCUGGGAAACUGCCUGAUGGAGGGGGAUAACUACUGGAAACGGUAGCUAAUACCGCAUAACGUCGCAAGACCAAAGAGGGGGACCUUCGGGCCUCUUGCCAUCGGAUGUGCCCAGAUGGGAUUAGCUAGUAGGUGGGGUAACGGCUCACCUAGGCGACGAUCCCUAGCUGGUCUGAGAGGAUGACCAGCCACACUGGAACUGAGACACGGUCCAGACUCCUACGGGAGGCAGCAGUGGGGAAUAUUGCACAAUGGGCGCAAGCCUGAUGCAGCCAUGCCGCGUGUAUGAAGAAGGCCUUCGGGUUGUAAAGUACUUUCAGCGGGGAGGAAGGCGAUAAGGUUAAUAACCUUGUCGAUUGACGUUACCCGCAGAAGAAGCACCGGCUAACUCCGUGCCAGCAGCCGCGGUAAUACGGAGGGUGCAAGCGUUAAUCGGAAUUACUGGGCGUAAAGCGCACGCAGGCGGUCUGUCAAGUCGGAUGUGAAAUCCCCGGGCUCAACCUGGGAACUGCAUUCGAAACUGGCAGGCUAGAGUCUUGUAGAGGGGGGUAGAAUUCCAGGUGUAGCGGUGAAAUGCGUAGAGAUCUGGAGGAAUACCGGUGGCGAAGGCGGCCCCCUGGACAAAGACUGACGCUUCAGGU